CAUCCACUGCACAAGGACCUGAGAGCACCAGGGCACAAGCAGCGUGAAAGCCCCCCCAGCCCAACCAUCUGCCAUGGACUGGUCCAAACUGCAGUGGAGAAGGGUGGAGGUUCAGAGCAUCUGUAGGACAUGGAUGAUGACACUGUGUGGGGAAACACAGAAGAGGACUUCUUUCAAGAAAGAUCUUGAUGGGAACAGGGCUUGGAGGAACGUCACCUGCCCCAGCCUCUGUCCCCCUCUCAUGAAAGCAUCUGAGAGGCCUCCUCUGUCCCACCAGAGACCCCCCCAAAACUGCCCAUUUAUUCACCUGAGAAGGAGGGGAAGUGACAAUGACUCUGAAAUAUUUUUUUAUACUUAACU